rnacentral:rRNA from 1 species
AUUGAACGCUGGCGGCAGGCUUAACACAUGCAAGUCGAGCGGAGAUGAGGUGCUUGCACCUUAUCUUAGCGGCGGACGGGUGAGUAAUGCUUAGGAAUCUGCCUAUUAGUGGGGGACAACAUUCCGAAAGGAAUGCUAAUACCGCAUACGUCCUACGGGAGAAAGCAGGGGAUCUUCGGACCUUGCGCUAAUAGAUGAGCCUAAGUCGGAUUAGCUAGUUGGUGGGGUAAAGGCCUACCAAGGCGACGAUCUGUAGCGGGUCUGAGAGGAUGAUCCGCAACACUGGGACUAAGACACGGCCCAGACUCCUCCGGGAGGCAGCAGUGGGGAAUAUUGGACAAUGGGGGAAACCCUGAUCCAGCCAUGCCGCGUGUGUGAAGAAGGCCUUAUGGUUGUAAAGCACUUUAAGCGAGGAGGAGGCUACUGAGACUAAUACUCUUGGAUAGUGGACGUUACUCGCAGAAUAAGCACCGGCUAACUCUGUGCCAGCAGCCGCCGUAA